UGAGGAUCGCAGCACCAGACAAGUUGAGAACCAGUGCUUUAGAAACUCCACACAGUUAAGCAGUGUGUCUGCUUACUGUCUGUUAUAUAACUUUAGACCCAAGGACAAUGCUUGACAGAGUCAGUAUUCAAAAAUCUGUCCAAGGUGCCUUUGUUUGGUGCUCUCUGACGAGGAGUGUUUGAGCAAUAUAUGCACAAGGUUGCCCUUUGGAGAUCUCAUCCAGGUUCAUCGUGAAGAUUUGAGAUCAUCCACUGGGAGGUCUAUGAUGUCGCUGAAGCAAAGACUAUCAUACUGUAGAAGUAAUAUGACCUUGGCUUUGGUAAUGGUCUGAAAUUAUAGCCUGGUUCUCUAGAUGCCAUCCAUGUGCUCUCCCUGCAAUUAUAGGAACACUCUUUCAAUAAAUAUUAUAUAUAUAUAUACAUAUAUAUGCAAUACACUAUUUUAAAACUAUAAUAUAAUAUACUUCAUUUUUUUCGGCAUCUGUCCUCUCAUCUUUAUGUUAGCCUAGCAGUUACCCUGAAUGAGUUCUUUGAGGAGCCCUUGUUUUCUGGGGCUUGCAACAUGCCAACUUUUACCCAUUUGCUGAGUAGGUGCCAAAGAGGGCGUCAUUUUUAAUUUUAUUUCUCCCCUCAGUAUAGAUUUAGAGCUAUGGGAGAUAGAGAAUAAUCAUCAGAAGGAAAGCUCCACAUAAAACAUAGACGGGGCAGUGAGAGAUGGCAAGAGUGAAGAUCUUGAUUUACACGCAGGACUUCUGCCAGUGUGUGUUAGAAGAAAUUGCUGCGGUUUCUUCUAACAGCCGCCAAAACUUGAAUUGGAGAUGCUAGAGAGGAAGAUGUAGAAAAUGGGCAAAAUAUCAGCCUGAUACCAUGAGGAUGAAUGAGAGAGAGCUUACCCUUGCCUCUCCACAACCACGGCAGCUUGGUGGUUUUGGACCCAGUCUGAAAAUGUAGAAACUGAGCUGAGACUUAUUUC
rnacentral:lncRNA from 1 species